rnacentral:rRNA from 1 species
UACGUAGGGGGCUAGCGUUGUCCGGAUUUAUUGGGCGUAAAGAGCGUGUAGGCGGCCAGGUAGGUCUGCUGUGAAACUCGAGGCUCAACCUCGAGACGUCGGCGGAAACCAUCUGGCUAGAGUACGGAAGAGGCGAGUGGAAUUCCUGGUGUAGCGGUGAAAUGCGCAGAUAUCAGGAGGAACACCAAUUGCGAAGGCAGCUCGCUGGGACGUUACUGACGCUGAGACGCGAAGCGUGGGGAGCAAACAGG